UGUGAUGAGUCUCCCCUGUCUUGGGUGGUCAUGUUUUCCCACAGGAGCUGUGCAUUAGUGAGGGGGUAAAAUCACCAGAGAAGUUGUCAGGAAUGCAGUCUGGGUGAGCUGAGCAGGCUCCCAGCUUGGCAGAAAUGUUGAGUUGCUCUUUGCACUUGAGAUUGCUGAGUUUUCUGCAGAUGCACAUUCCCAGGUAUACCCUGUAGGAAAGGCAGAGACAACUUCUGCUGGUCAGAGAGACUUUUACCUAAAACUGUGAGGCUGAAAAUAUCCCAGACUAUAACUGUGGAGAAAAAUACAUCAGAAGAUGAAACACAGCAGAAGAUGCUUGGGGGAGAAGAGGAGCAAUCAGCAAUGUCAGUGAGGGCAAAGCCUGGCCAGCAAAGCCUCCUGCCUGAGGCUGAGAGGAAGGCAAGGAGGGAAGGAUCCAUUCCUGCAAAGAACCUGCUCAGGAUAUUGGCAGCCCUCAGCAUCAGAUAUUCACAAGUCAUCUGCUCAUAACUGAGGAAAACACAGAUAUAUUCAUUUUUUUUGCUGCUCUUGCCUACCGUGUUCCUCCUCACCUACCCUGCACCUCUUAACACAUGGGGACAAUCACCUUGCUGAUGUCCAACCCAUCUCCACACUGCCCAAAUGCUCCCAGUAGCUGGGAGUGUGACCUGCUGCAGCAAGACUCUGGAAACUUUACAGCACUUCUAAUCUUAUAUGAGGUACAUAUGUUCAAAUAUUACCACUCCUGGGACCAGAGUUGCUCCUGCCUCACAUAUUUCAUUCCCUUUGAUGCACAAGAGAGUCCCUGCACUGGGAGAAGC